CUGUCCGAGUUGUAAUCUAGAGAAGUGCUGCCCGUGCUGGACCAUGUACAAGUCUCCUGGAAUGGAGCGUCACAGAGGGUGAGAAUCCCGUCUUUGACAUGGACUGCCAGUGCAUUUGUGGUGUGCUCUCAAAGAGUCGAGUUGUUUGGGAAUGCAGCUCUAAAUGGGUGGUAAACUCCAUCUAAAGCUAAAUAUUGGCGAGAGACCGAUAGCGAACAAGUACCGUGAGGGAAAGAUGAAAAGAACUUUGGAAAGAGAGUUAAACAGUAUGUGAAAUUGUUGAAAGGGAAACGCUUAAAGUCAGUCGUGUCGGCCAGGGAUCAACUCAGUAUUAUCUGCUGGGUGUACUUCCUGAUCUGAUGGGCCAACAUCAGUUUUGACUGCUGGAGAAGGAUAGAGGGAAUGUGGCACCUUUGGGUGUGUUAUAGCUCUCUGUCGGAUGCAGUGGUUGGGACUGAGGAAUGCAGCAUGCCGCAAGGCCGGGUCGUUUCGACCACGUUCAUGCUGAGGAUGUUGGCAUAAUGGCUUUAAUCGACCCGUCUUGAAACACGGACCAAGGAGUCUAACAUGCCUGCGAGUGUUUGGGUGGCAAACCCGAGUGCGGAAUGAAAGUGAAAGGUUGAGAUCCCUGUCAUGGGGAGCAUCGACGCCCGGACCUGAGCUCAAUGCAAAGGAUCUGCGGUAGAGCAUGUAUGUUAGGACCCGAAAGAUGGUGAACUAUGCCUGAAUAGGGUGAAGCCAGAGGAAACUCUGGUGGAGGCUCGUAGCGAUUCUGACGUGCAAAU
rnacentral:rRNA from 1 species